rnacentral:rRNA from 1 species
UACGAAGGGGGCUAGCGUUGUUCGGAAUUACUGGGCGUAAAGGGUUCGUAGGUGGCCUGCUAAGUCAGACGUGAAAUCCCUCAGCUUAACUGGGGAACUGCGUCUGAUACUGGUGGGCUUGAGUGCAGGAGAGGAACGCGGAAUUCCAGGUGUAGCGGUGAAAUGCGUAGAUAUCUGGAGGAACACCGGUGGCGAAGGCGGCGUUCUGGACUGCAACUGACACUGAGGAACGAAAGCCAGGGGAGCAAACGGG